AGUGAACGCUGGCGGUAGGCCUAACACAUGCAAGUCGGACGGCAGCACAGUAAGAGCUUGCUCUUACGGGUGGCGAGUGGCGGACGGGUGAGGAAUACAGCGGAAUCUACUUUUUCGUGGGGGAUAACGUAGGGAAACUUACGCUAAUACCGCAUACGACCUACGGGUGAAAGCAGGGGAUCUUCGGACCUUGCGCGAUUGAAUGAGCCGAUGUCGGAUUAGCUAGUUGGCGGGGUAAAGGCCCACCAAGGCGACGAUCCGUAGCUGGUCUGAGAGGAUGAUCAGCCACAUUGGAACUGAGACACGGUCCAGACUCCUACGGGAGGCAGCAGUGGGGAAUAUUAGACAAUGGGCGCAAGCCUGAUCCAGCCAUACCGCGUGGGUGAAGAAGGCCUUCGGGUUGUAAAGCCCUUUUGUUGGGAGAGAAAAGCAGCAGGUUAAUACCCCGCUGUUCUGACGGUACCCAAAGAAUAAGCACCGGCUAACUUCGUG
rnacentral:rRNA from 1 species